ACCUUUUCAUUUUGGAAUCUCUUCCUAGGAUAGCUAGGGAUACCUUCUUUUUAUAUUUAUUAUAUUUGAUUGUAAGAGAAAAAGUGGUCGAAGGAGGAGUACUUCUGAAAGUUUGAAGUAUGAAUAAUUGUACAAAUGUAUGAAACAAAGCAAUAAGGGAUAAUAGUAUUGAUCAUUAUAUAAAGAACACUAUCUUUAACUGAAUACGACAUUGGAAUGAGUCACGGUGAUACGGGGAUUGUCGUUUUCAUGAAUCAUUUGGGCAUUGAGGAAAGGAAGAUAAAAAUUGACGUCACACAACAUCCGACGAAGGUACGAUUUAAUCGAGACUUUGCUCGGAGUCAUACAUGAGCAAUAAAAAAUCAUAUAGAGGUAGAAAACCGAUUUUAAAAUAUAUAAUGAGGUAAGUACAUAUUUAUUUCGUAAACUAUUUGUAGUUUUAGUAUCGACAAUAAGUAUUUACAAAGGAGUUUUUUUUGCAAGUGGGUGUACGUAUGAAAUAAAAGAACGUUGUGGAUAUUUUUUUCCUCAUUGCCAAUUAAUGUUGUACUGGCGUUAUACAAACUGGGUAGUUACUGGCUAUUGUUGUAUUAUCUGGUACGUUCAGGAAAAGGGACUAAAAUGUGCCAUGCGUCACCAUGUUUACAAUGGGAAAAACCUUUACUAACUCAGUUUUAAUAAUUGUAUGUUUAGUGUGGAACCCACUCACACAAAUCCAUUCUCGUAUCAAAGGCUAACCCUAUGUGUGCACUUAACAUACGCUAGUGUGAGUUGACAGUGAGUAUGUGUGACGUCAAAAUUAUUCUUUCAUUGCGAAACUAUGGCUGUGUGCGUGGAAAACACUAACAUUCUGAUAAAGUGUGCGUGAAAAUGCGUCUGUGAGCGAUUUUUUAUGAGUACUGUUUAAUAGGAUUAUCUGUUGUAAGUACUUAAUGCUUAUUGAUGCUACCGGUCAUUUACGGAGGUCGUAUACAUACUGAAUAAGUGAGUGAAUACUCUUUGCUCUUGUAGAGCGAGGACGUCUGGCUUCUUUUCAGCCAGCUACUGAGUCAUCGUGCGUAAAUGGACAUUCCGAAUUCAAGUUUUCAUUUUAAUUUUUUAACAAAACAAUACGCAAAAAGUGGAAUGAUUAUACUAUUGUUAAUCGAGUUAUCCAAAAAUGUCAGUGUCACUAAAGAGCAGAAAAAAAAAUUGUUUGGUCAAAAUUUAUUUGUCUGUCUGAAGUGUUUUCUUAAGACAGACACCUAGAUAAAAUACAUAGAUAAGGGGAAGACCACCGAAACAAUAGAUGAUUUGUGUUGACAAUAUUGCUGGAAAGAUUAGCAUCACUUUUGAGAUAACCUCAGACAAAGAAAAAGACAUGAUAACAUAUAGAAACCUAUCAAUUACACAGAAAAAGCCACAUGACUGGAAGAAGAGCUGUGCUCACAACUGGAGCAAUUUUCAAUUGACAUAAAUUCUAUUUAAAUAAUAA